rnacentral:rRNA from 1 species
GAUGAACGCUAGCUACAGGCUUAACACAUGCAAGUCGAGGGGCAGCAUGGUCUUAGCUUGCUAAGGCCGAUGGCGACCGGCGCACGGGUGAGUAACACGUAUCCAACCUACCGUCUACUCUUGGACAGCCUUCUGAAAGGAAGAUUAAUACAAGAUGGCAUCAUGAGUCCGCAUGUUCACAUGAUUAAAGGUAUUCCGGUAGACGAUGGGGAUGCGUUCCAUUAGAUAGUAGGCGGGGUAACGGCCCACCUAGUCUUCGAUGGAUAGGGGUUCUGAGAGGAAGGUCCCCCACAUUGGAACUGAGACACGGUCCAAACUCCUACGGGAGGCAGCAGUGAGGAAUAUUGGUCAAUGGGCGAGAGCCUGAACCAGCCAAGUAGCGUGAAGGAUGACUGCCCUAUGGGUUGUAAACUUCUUUUAUAAAGGAAUAAAGUCGGGUAUGCAUACCCGUUUGCAUGUACUUUAUGAAUAAGGAUCGGCUAACUCCGUGCCAGCAGCCGCGGUAAUACGGAGGAUCCGAGCGUUAUCCGGAUUUAUUGGGUUUAAAGGGAGCGUAGAUGGAUGUUUAAGUCAGUUGUGAAAGUUUGCGGCUCAACCGUAAAAUUGCAGUUGAUACUGGAUAUCUUGAGUGCAGUUGAGGCAGGCGGAAUUCGUGGUGUAGCGGUGAAAUGCUUAGAUAUCACGAAGAACUCCGAUUGCGAAGGCAGCCUGCUAAGCUGCAACUGACAUUGAGGCUCGAAAGUGUGGGUAUCAAACAGGAUUAGAUACCCUGGUAGUCCACACGGUAAACGAUGAAUACUCGCUGUUUGCGAUAUACAGCAAGCGGCCAAGCGAAAGCGUUAAGUAUUCCACCUGGGGAGUACGCCGGCAACGGUGAAACUCAAAGGAAUUGACGGGGGCCCGCACAAGCGGAGGAACAUGUGGUUUAAUUCGAUGAUACGCGAGGAACCUUACCCGGGCUUAAAUUGCAGAUGAAUUACGGUGAAAGCCGUAAGCCGCAAGGCAUCUGUGAAGGUGCUGCAUGGUUGUCGUCAGCUCGUGCCGUGAGGUGUCGGCUUAAGUGCCAUAACGAGCGCAACCCUUGUUGUCAGUUACUAACAGGUUCCGCUGAGGACUCUGACAAGACUGCCAUCGUAAGAUGUGAGGAAGGUGGGGAUGACGUCAAAUCAGCACGGCCCUUACGUCCGGGGCUACACACGUGUUACAAUGGGGGGUACAGAGGGCCGCUACCACGCGAGUGGAUGCCAAUCCCAAAAACCUCUCUCAGUUCGGACUGGAGUCUGCAACCCGACUCCACGAAGCUGGAUUCGCUAGUAAUCGCGCAUCAGCCACGGCGCGGUGAAUACGUUCCCGGGCCUUGUACACACCGCCCGUCAAGCCAUGGGAGCCGGGGGUACCUGAAGUGCGUAACCGCGAGGAGCGCCCUAGGGUAAAACUGGUGACUGGGGCUAAGU